rnacentral:rRNA from 1 species
CAUGGCGGCUGCUUACCAUGCAAGUCGAGCGGGCAAUUUAUCUAGCACUGAUUACUUCAAAUGGCUAUCGCCGGUGUAAUCAUGAAUUUCUACCUUUAAUAAGGAAAAAAAGAAAUUCAUGUACGCAAAUAGUGAUAACACAUGAAAGUGGAGUGAUGAGUGCUGGAUAAAUUGCUAGCGGCGGACGGGUGCGUAACACGUGGGUAACCUGCCCCUAUCACUGGGAUAACACACUGAAAAGUGUGCUAAUACCAGAUAAUAUAAGCUUUUGGCAUCAUUAGCUUAUCAAAGAAUUUCGGAUAGGGAUGGGCCCGCGUCUGAUUAGCUAGUUGGUGAGGUAACGGCUCACCAAGGCAACGAUCAGUAGCCGACCUGAGAGGGUGAUCGGCCACACUGGAACUGAGACACGGUCCAGACUCCUACGGGAGGCAGCAGUGGGGAAUAUUGCACAAUGGGCGAAAGCCUGAUGCAGCAACGCCGCGUGAGCGAUGAAGGCCUUCGGGUCGUAAAGCUCUGUCCUAUGGGAAGAUAAUGACGGUACCAUAGGAGGAAGCCCCGGCUAACUACGUGCCAGCAGCCGCGGUAAUACGUAGGGGGCAAGCGUUAUCCGGAAUUACUGGGCGUAAAGGGUGCGUAGGCGGUUUAUCAAGUCAGGGGUAAAAGGCUACGGCUCAACCGUAGUGAGCCUCUGAAACUGGUGAACUUGAGUGUAGGAGAGGAAAGUGGAAUUCCCAGUGUAGCGGUGAAAUGCGUAGAUAUUGGGAGGAACACCAGUGGCGAACGCGACUUUCUGGACUACAACUGACGCUGAGGCACGAAA